ensembl:lincRNA
AUGGAAGAAAAUCUCAUGCACAAGCAACCUCAGAUCCAUGAAGGAAAAGAGGAUGUGAAGUCAAAAGGCCUUUUUGGGACAAAUGGCAAGAUUUCUUUUUUCAAGCGGUUAUCCACCACAGAGAUCAAGAAACCAGAGAAAAAGAAUGAUGCAAGACCUGUCCAGGAAAAGAAUCGUUCCGAAGAUCAGAAGGUUUUCCCGGCCAACGAGGAGAGCAGAGACCCGAAGGACAGCAGUAACACCAACGCCAUCCCCACACAGUCCCCACAGAGAGACCCACGGAAAGCACAGAGUCUCAGUGACGGAAGGUCCCGCUCCUCCACUUGUACUAUGCUGUGAUUACGUGGAGAGAUUACACUUUUCAGUGCUUUUCAGAAGUUGCAGUGUGCCUUAAACUAUUUUUAUGAGUUUUAUAAUCUGUUUUGUUUCCAAAACUAUAACCGUUGCACACAGCAAAAUUAAAAGUGCAUGUACUGUAUACAGAUCAUUUAGAGAUUGUACAAAGCAAGUGGCCAAGAAUACCAUUUUACUGGCAGUGGUAGGAAUACUUCACAAGUGCUUUAUGAUCCGGAGUCCAUGGGCAAACUGGCACAACUGACAGCUCUGUAAGAUUACACAGAAGUUGAAAACCUUGCACUACAAAGAAUGUAAAAUAUCUCAGAAAUAUCCAAAAUAUAAGGUAAAACAGGAUUGUUCAUAAGGGAUCAAGUUUCUUACAUUGUGCAAAAGGGCUUGACUUGGUGUAUUGUGGAUUUCCAAAGAAUUUCACUCAGUCACUUGAGUAUUUUGAGGAUUGUUGUACAUUCGUAUUCUUCUACAGCUCUCAACAAAUGCAGUAGAAUGUGUUCAUUCAGUCAUUUAAAAUUGCAGGUUCAAAGACCAGAAACAUCUGAAUUCACAUUGCACUCCUGGUGUUACCUCAGUUAUGUAUCUGUUUACUACAGUAUGUUUUUGAGUUGUUUCUUACACUUUCAGAAUUUUUUUUUUAUUAAUACAGAAUCAACAUACACCGUAUACAACAAUUCUCCCUGCCUGCAGGCCCAAAAUGUAUUCUGCUGUUGUACAACGCAUUUAGCUUGAUUCAAAAAUCCACAGCUGGUCCUCACAUUUUAAAAAUAUUUUGUUGUAUAUUUAGUAUACUGUAUGUAUGAGUGAUGGUUCCACAUACACUGUAUAGCUUUAUUCUAAAUGUUGUAAUAUGGCUCUUUUAGUAUUAACUUCAAGAUAUUUGUUCUAUAAUUUAUGAAACUGUAUAUAUUUCUUAUUUUAACAGAUGUAUUUAUUUAAGUUUAGAAUCUAAAAGCACAGAUUGCACUUUAAAUUGAACUACUGUACACUGUACAUUGUACUUGUUUCAGGGAAAUGUGUACGUUUUAAAGAUUGACUCAUCAGCAGGUAUACGUGCCUCCUGAAAGACUGCAUUUUCACUUUUUAUCGUACCUAAGGAUGAAAGGAUGCUUUUGUAUUUUACACUCAUCUGGUACAUGCCAUGUGAUUUCAGUAUAAACACAUUGUGCUCUCUGGUGUGUGAACAGGAUUUCUUCUUACAGUACAUUCAAACUGAAUCCUAUUAAUGUUAAAUAAAUCAGGUUAUC